rnacentral:rRNA from 2 species
AGAGUUUGAUCCUGGCUCAGGAUGAACGCUGGCGGCGUGCCUAAUACAUGCAAGUCGAGCGAACGGACGAGAAGCUUGCUUCUCUGAUGUUAGCGGCGGACGGGUGAGUAACACGUGGAUAACCUACCUAUAAGACUGGGAUAACUUCGGGAAACCGGAGCUAAUACCGGAUAAUAUUUUGAACCGCAUGGUUCAAAAGUGAAAGACGGUCUUGCUGUCACUUAUAGAUGGAUCCGCGCUGCAUUAGCUAGUUGGUAAGGUAACGGCUUACCAAGGCAACGAUGCAUAGCCGACCUGAGAGGGUGAUCGGCCACACUGGAACUGAGACACGGUCCAGACUCCUACGGGAGGCAGCAGUAGGGAAUCUUCCGCAAUGGGCGAAAGCCUGACGGAGCAACGCCGCGUGAGUGAUGAAGGUCUUCGGAUCGUAAAACUCUGUUAUUAGGGAAGAACAUAUGUGUAAGUAACUGUGCACAUCUUGACGGUACCUAAUCAGAAAGCCACGGCUAACUACGUGCCAGCAGCCGCGGUAAUACGUAGGUGGCAAGCGUUAUCCGGAAUUAUUGGGCGUAAAGCGCGCGUAGGCGGUUUUUUAAGUCUGAUGUGAAAGCCCACGGCUCAACCGUGGAGGGUCAUUGGAAACUGGAAAACUUGAGUGCAGAAGAGGAAAGUGGAAUUCCAUGUGUAGCGGUGAAAUGCGCAGAGAUAUGGAGGAACACCAGUGGCGAAGGCGACUUUCUGGUCUGUAACUGACGCUGAUGUGCGAAAGCGUGGGGAUCAAACAGGAUUAGAUACCCUGGUAGUCCACGCCGUAAACGAUGAGUGCUAAGUGUUAGGGGGUUUCCGCCCCUUAGUGCUGCAGCUAACGCAUUAAGCACUCCGCCUGGGGAGUACGACCGCAAGGUUGAAACUCAAAGGAAUUGACGGGGACCCGCACAAGCGGUGGAGCAUGUGGUUUAAUUCGAAGCAACGCGAAGAACCUUACCAAAUCUUGACAUCCUUUGACAACUCUAGAGAUAGAGCCUUCCCCUUCGGGGGACAAAGUGACAGGUGGUGCAUGGUUGUCGUCAGCUCGUGUCGUGAGAUGUUGGGUUAAGUCCCGCAACGAGCGCAACCCUUAAGCUUAGUUGCCAUCAUUAAGUUGGGCACUCUAAGUUGACUGCCGGUGACAAACCGGAGGAAGGUGGGGAUGACGUCAAAUCAUCAUGCCCCUUAUG